UACGUAGGGGGCAAGCGUUGUCCGGAAUUAUUGGGCGUAAAGCGUCCGCAGGUGGCACUUCAAGUCUGUCGUCAAAGACUGGGGCUUAACCCUGGAAAGGCGGUGGAAACUGAAGCGCUAGAGUGCGGUAGGGGUAGAGGGAAUUCCCGGUGUAGCGGUGAAAUGCGUAGAGAUCGGGAAGAACAUCGGUGGCGAAAGCGCUCUGCUGGACUGCAACUGACACUCAGGGACGAAAGCUAGGGGAGCGAAUGGG
rnacentral:rRNA from 1 species